rnacentral:rRNA from 1 species
CCUACGGGAGGCAGCAGUAGGGAAUCUUCCACAAUGGGCGAAAGCCUGAUGGAGCAACGCCGCGUGGGUGAAGAAGGUCUUCGGAUCGUAAAACUCUGUUGUUAGAGAAGAAAGUGCGUGAGAGUAACUGUUCACGUUUCGACGGUAUCUAACCAGAAAGCCACGGCUAACUACGUGCCAGCAGCCGCGGUAAUACGUAGGUGGCAAGCGUUAUCCGGAUUUAUUGGGCGUAAAGGGAACGCAGGCGGUCUUUUAAGUCUGAUGUGAAAGCCUUCGGCUUAACCGGAGUAGUGCAUUGGAAACUGGGAGACUUGAGUGCAGAAGAGGAGAGUGGAACGCCAUGUGUAGCGGUGAAAUGCGUAGAUAUAUGGAAGAACACCAGUUGCGAAAGCGGCUCUCUGGUCUGUAACUGACGCUGAGGUUCGAAAGCGUGGGUAGCAAACAGGAUUAGAUACCCUUGUAGUC